GAGGANNAGCUGGGGAUCGAAAGACCUGGCGUUAUUCGAUCGGCCGACGUCUGAUUAGCUAGUUGGUGAGGUAAAGGCUCACAAGGCGACGAUCAGUAGCGGGUCUGAGAGGAUGAUCCGCCACACUGGGACUGAGACACGGCCCAGACUCCUACGUAGGCAGCAGUGGGGAAUUUGGACUAUGGGGGCAAGCCUGAUCCAGCCAUGCCGCGUGUCUGAAGAAGGCCUUCGGGUUGUAAAGGACAUUUGUUAGGGAGCAAGUCCUGCAGGUUAAGAGCCAGUAGGGAUGAGAGUACCUAAAGAAUAAGCACCGGCUAACUACGUGCCAGCAGCCGCGGUAAUACGUGGGUGCAAGCGUUAAUCGGAAUUACUGGGCGUAAAGGGUGCGCAGGCGUGUAUUGUAAGCCAGAUGUGAAAUCCCCGGGCUCAACCUGGGAACUGCGUUUGGAACUGCAAUGCUAGAGUGUGUCAGAGAGGGGUGGAAUUCCACGUGUAGCAGUGAAAUGCGUAGAGAUGUUGAGGAACACCGAUGGCGAAGGCAGCUCCCUGGGAUAACACUGACGCUCAGGCACGAAAGCGUGGGGAGCAAACAGGAUUAGAUAGCCUGGUAGUCCACGCCCUAAACGAUGACAACUAGCCGUUGGGAAGCUCGGUUCUUGGUGGCGUAGCUAACGCGAGAAGUUGUCCGCCUGGGGAGUACGGUCGCAAGAUUAAAACUCAAAGGAAUUGACGGGGGCCGCACAAGCGGUGGAUGAUGUGGAUUAAUUCGAUGCAACGCGAAAAACCUUACCUGGUCUUGACAUGACUAGGAAUCUCUGAGAGAUCGGAGAGUGACCGAAAGGGAACCUAGACAGAGGUGCUGCAUGGCUGUCGUCAGCUCGUGUCGUGAG
rnacentral:rRNA from 1 species